GAGUGGCAAGCGUUAUCCGGAAUUAUUGGGCGUAAAGCGUCCGCAGGCGGCCCUUCAAGUCUGCUGUUAAAAAGUGGAGCUUAACUCCAUCAUGGCAGUGGAAACUGUUGGGCUUGAGUGUGGUAGGGGCAGAGGGAAUUCCCGGUGUAGCGGUGAAAUGCGUAGAUAUCGGGAAGAACACCAGUGGCGAAGGCGCUCUGCUGGGCCAUAACUGACGCUCAUGGACGAAAGCCAGGGGAGCGAAAGGGAUUAGAUACCCCUGUAGUCCUGGCCGUAAACGAUGAACACUAGGUGUCGGGGGAAUCGACCCCCUCGGUGUCGUAGCCAACGCGUUAAGUGUUCCGCCUGGGGAGUACGCACGCAAGUGUGAAACUCAAAGGAAUUGACGGGGGCCCGCACAAGCGGUGGAGUAUGUGGUUUAAUUCGAUGCAACGCGAAGAACCUUACCAGGGUUUGACAUCCUGCGAACCUCUUGGAAACGAGAGGGUGCCUUCGGGAACGCAGUGACAGGUGGUGCAUGGCUGUCGUCAGCUCGUGUCGUGAGAUGUUGGGUUAAGUCCCGCAACGAGCGCAACCCACGUCUUUAGUUGCCAGCAUUUAGUUGGGCACUCUAGAGAGACCGCCGGUGAUAAACCGGAGGAAGGUGUGGAUGACGUCAAGUCAUCAUGCCCCUUACAUCCUGGGCUACACACGUACUACAAUGCUACGGACAAAGAGCAGCAAGUUCGCGAGGACAAGCAAAUCUCAUAAACCGUGGCUCAGUUCAGAUCGUAGGCUGCAACUCGCCUACGUGAAGGAGGAAUCGCUAGUAAUCGCAGGUCAGCAUACUGCGGUGA
rnacentral:rRNA from 1 species